UAGAUAGAUGCUCGCUGGUUUAAGCGCUUAGCUGUUAACUAAGAUAUUUGCAGGAUCGAGGCCUGCCUAUCUAG
rnacentral:tRNA from 1 species